rnacentral:rRNA from 1 species
AAUCAACGCUGGCGGCGUGCCUAACACAUGCAAGUCGAACGUGAAAGCCCCGCAAGGGGUGAGUAGAGUGGCGCACGGGUGAGUAACACGUGGAUAACCUGCCUUUGAGUGGGGAAUAACCUUCCGAAAGGAGGGCUAAUACCGCAUGAUACCCUUAGACAAAGGUCAGAGGGUUGAAAGGAGCAAUUCGCUCAGAGAGGGGUCCGCGCCUGAUUAGCUAGUUGGUGGGGUAACGGCCUACCAAGGCGUCGAUCAGUAGCCGUCCUGAGAGGGAGCACGGCCACACUGGAACUGAGACACGGUCCAGACUCCUACGGGAGGCAGCAGUGGGGAAUUUUUUGCAAUGGGCGAAAGCCUGACCAAGCAACGCCGCGUGGGUGAUGAAGUAUCUUGGUACGUAAAACCCUUUCGGCAGGGACGAACCUAAUGACGGUACCUGCGGAAGAAGCCCCGGCUAACUCCGUGCCAGCCGCCGCCGUAACAC